rnacentral:rRNA from 1 species
UACGGAGGGUGCGAGCGUUGUCCGGAAUCACUGGGCGUAAAGGGCGCGUAGGCGGCGCGGGCAGUCAACGGUGAAAGCUUGGGGCUCAACCCCGAGUCGGCCGUCGAUACUCCCGGGCUGGAGCACUGUAGAGGCAGGUGGAAUUCCGGGUGUAGCGGUGGAAUGCGUAGAGAUCCGGAAGAACACCGGUGGCGAAGGCGGCCUGCUGGGCAGUAGCUGACGCUGAGGGACGAAAGCUAGGGGAGCGAAUGGG